AUUGAACGCUGGCGGCAGGCUUAACACAUGCAAGUCGAGCGGAGUUGUGGUGCUUGCACCAUAACUUAGCGGUGGACGGGUGAGUAAUGCUUAGGAAUCUGCCUAUUAGUGGGGGACAACAUCUCGAAAGGGAUGCUAAUACCGCAUACGUCCUACGGGAGAAAGCAGGGGACCUUCGGGCCUUGCGCUAAUAGAUGAGCCUAAGUCGGAUUAGCUAGUUGGUGGGGUAAAGGCCUACCAAGGCGACGAUCUGUAGCGGGUCUGAGAGGAUGAUCCGCCACACUGGGACUGAGACACGGCCCAGACUCCUACGGGAGGCAGCAGUGGGGAAUAUUGGACAAUGGGGGGAACCCUGAUCCAGCCAUGCCGCGUGUGUGAAGAAGGCCUUUUGGUUGUAAAGCACUUUAAGCGAGGAGGAGGCUACUGGUAUUAAUACUAUCGGAUAGUGGACGUUACUCGCAGAAUAAGCACCGGCUAACUCUGUGCCAGCCGCCGCCGUAAAAC
rnacentral:rRNA from 1 species